rnacentral:rRNA from 1 species
ACAUGCAAGUCGAACGAGAAGCCACCUUCGGGUGGUGGACAGUGGCAGUUCGGGUGAGUAACGCGUGGGAACGUGCCUUUCGGUUCGGGAUAACCCAGGGAAACUUGGGCUAAUACCGGAUACGCCCUCCGGGGGAAAGAUUCAUCGCCGAAAGAUCGGCCCGCGUCGGAUUAGCUAGUUGGUAGGGUAAUGGCCUACCAAGGCGACGAUCCGUAGCUGGUCUGAGAGGAUGACCAGCCACACUGGGACUGAGACACGGCCCAGACUCCUACGGGAGGCAGCAGUGGGGAAUAUUGGACAAUGGGCGAAAGCCUGAUCCAGCCAUGCCGCGUGGGUGAAGAAGGCCUUAGGGUUGUAAACCCCUUUCAGCGGGGAAGAUAAUGACGGUACCCGCAGAAGAAUCC